AACGAACGCUGGCGGCAGGCUUAACACAUGCAAGUCGAGCGCCCCGCAAGGGGAGCGGCAGACGGGUGAGUAACGCGUGGGAAUCUACCCAUCUCUACGGAAUAACGCAUGGAAACGUGUGCUAAUACCGUAUACGUCCUUCGGGAGAAAGAUUUAUCGGAGCUGGAUGAGCCCGCGUUGGAUUAGCUAGUUGGUGGGGUAAAGGCCUACCAAGGCGACGAUCCAUAGCUGGUCUGAGCGGAUGAUCAGCCACACUGGGACUGAGACACGGCCCAAAGUCCUACGGGAGGCAGCAGUGGGGAAGAUUGGACAAAGGGCGCAAGCCUGAUCCAGCCAUGCCGCGUGAGUGAUGAAGGCCCUAUGGUUGUAGAGCUCUUUCACCGGUGAAGAUAAUGACGGUAACCGGAGAAGAAGCCCCGGCUAACUUCGUGCCAGCCGCCGCAGUAAGAC
rnacentral:rRNA from 1 species